rnacentral:rRNA from 1 species
GUAGGGAAUAUUGGACAAUGGGCGAAAGCCUGAUCCAGCAAUGCCGCGUGAGUGAUGAAGGCCUUAGGGUUGUAAAGCUCUUUUACCAGGGAUGAUAAUGACAGUACCUGGAGAAUAAGCUCCGGCUAACUCCGUGCCAGCAGCCGCGGUAAUACGGAGGGAGCUAGCGUUGUUCGGAAUUACUGGGCGUAAAGCGCGCGUAGGCGGCGAUUUAAGUCAGAGGUGAAAGCCCGGGGCUCAACCCCGGAAUAGCCUUUGAGACUGGAUUGCUAGAAUCCUGGGGAGGUGAGUGGAAUUCCGAGUGUAGAGGUGAAAUUCGUAGAUAUUCGGAAGAAUACCAGUGGCGAAGGCGAUUCUCUGGUCUGUCUCUGACGCUGAGGAGCGAAAGCGUGGGUAGCGAACGGGAUUAGAAACCCCAGUAGUCC